ACCAACAGUGGUAACCCAGGUGGCCCAGGAAGUCCAAUGUCACCCUGUGGAAGCCAAAGGAGAGACAUUCUGGGUCAUGAACUGUUGCAGUGAGACUCAACUCGUUCUCCUGUUGUGCUGCAGCGCUACAUAUUCUGCACUCAUUGAAAAUCUACUAAUUAACUGCAGGUGGUCUUGGGGAAAGGGAAUAAGGAGAGAGCACUAGCAGGAUUAUUCCAUGCCCACAGACUGCCAGGAUGAAACAUGUUGAUGCAGACAUGGGAAGGAACAUGGAAUGCUCCAAUUCCUCAACUUCCAAAUUCAUAAGAAUGUUGUGGUACCUGUUCUUGGGAGAUCCACCAGAUGCUGUGGAAGAAGGUGUCACAUCUCUACACAUCUUGAUUAUCACGGAGAAAAUAUUCUGCAAACUGUGAGUGCCAGGGCAUCAGCUGCUCCACACACAGCUAACCCAGACCAGCUGGUCCUGCAGAUCCCAAGGACCCAAUCGGCCCCUGAGCUCCCAGAUCACCGGGCUGACCCUGCAAAGAGUCCAAAGAAGAGGAUGAAUGUGUUGUGAACCUCGCAGCAGGCAGCAACUCACAGGUGACUGUGGCUAAA